GCGGAAAUAGCUCAGUUGGUAGAGCACGACCUUGCCAAGGUCGGGGUCGCGAGUUCGAGUCUCGUUUUCCGCU
rfam:Bacterium F083 scaffold_1, whole genome shotgun sequence.